GACCUGGUGGUGAAAUGGAUCACACCCACUCUGUCUGAUAACUUCCUUCCAAAGUACUUGUAGGUGUUCCUGGUUCGAAUCCGGGUCAGGUCC